rnacentral:rRNA from 1 species
UGACGGGCCCGCACAAGCAGCGGAGCGUGUGGUUUAAUUCGAUGUUACACGAAGAACCUUACCAGGGUUUGACAUGCAAGUGGUAGGAAGCCGAAAGGUGACCGACCCUUCGGGGAGCUUGCACAGGUGCUGCAUGGCUGUCGUCAGCUCGUGUCGUGAGAUGUUCGGUUAAGUCCGCUAACGAGCGCAACCCUCGCUGUGUGUUAUAUGUGUCACACGGGACUGCCGGUCUUAAGCCGGAGGAAGGUGGGGAUGAUGUCAAGUCAGCAUGGCCUUUAUAUCCUGGGCUACACACACGCUACAAUGGCCAACACAAUAGGUUGCUAAGCCGCGAGGUGGCGCCAAUCCAUAAAGUUGGUCUCAGUUCAGAUUGUAGGCUGCAACCCGCCUGCAUGAAGAUGGAGUUGCUAGUAACCGCAGGUCAGCUAUACUGCGGUGAAUACGUUCCCGGGGCUU